rnacentral:rRNA from 1 species
GAUGAACGCUGGCGGCGUGCCUAAUACAUGCAAGUCGAGCGAACAGAUAAGGAGCUUGCUCCUUUGACGUUAGCGGCGGACGGGUGAGUAACACGUGGAUAACCUACCUAUAAGACUGGGAUAACUUCGGGAAACCGGAGCUAAUACCGGAUAACAUAUUGAACCGCAUGGUUCAAUAGUGAAAGGCGGCUUUGCUGUCACUUAUAGAUGGAUCCGCGCCGUAUUAGCUAGUUGGUAAGGUAACGGCUUACCAAGGCAACGAUACGUAGCCGACCUGAGAGGGUGAUCGGCCACACUGGAACUGAGACACGGUCCAGACUCCUACGGGAGGCAGCAGUAGGGAAUCUUCCGCAAUGGGCGAAAGCCUGGCGGAGCAACGCCGCGUGAGUGAUGAAGGUCUUCGGAUCGUAAAACUCUGUUAUCAGGGAAGAACAAAUGUGUAAGUAACUGUGCACAUCUUGACGGUACCUGAUCAGAAAGCCACGGCUAACUACGU